AUAUUUCAGAAUAUUGAUUGCUUCAUGCGAUAAGAUUAAAAAAUCUCCCAAAUCACGAACUUGAAUUCUCAGUGGCUCAAUGUGUUCGCUUCGAUAGAAGAGAUUAGCCAAUCCAUUGGACAAGUCUUGUGAUAACUUGACAGUAAAGAGUAGAAUUUGGAUCAUUGUCCAUGGAUAAGAAUCAUAAUAGAUCUCAUAAUUAUACACUAAAUACUCCGCUAGCAUAGUCCGGCAUGAAUUAUACAGAGGAUCUUCAGAAGAUACUUCCCUGAGCAAAUUACAAAAUUCUAAUCCUAAAGAAGCUAUUUCAUCAUGAGAAGGCUGAUUCUCGGUCAUCAAUAUGAGUUCCAUGGAAAGCCUUAUCAAAUUAUUACCAUAGAAUUUGUUACCUUCAAUUGGUGAGCUAUAAAGCAUAACCAAAGUCGCAGGGACAGAAUACAAAGAGAGAAUGUCCGAAUUCUCUUCACUCAUGCGAUCCAACACUUGUCUAAUGAUGCUACAGCAGUCUCCGUAUUUGGAAUCACAUUCACCUUGGCACAUGCGACAAAUGUUUGAACUCAUUUGGUGAAUCAUUUGGGGAAGUGCCGAAGGGUCGUCCUUGUCGUCCCAUCUAACCAUUAACUCAAGGCAAGCUUUGUUUUGAAUUGAACACUCUUUAAGCGUGUCCCAGUGCUUUAGCUGCUUUGUUUCAUAAAAUAAUUUCUGUUCCGUAACUGGAAUUUUCCAGGUCACUAGAAUUUUCUCGUGGAUAAUCUUUAUAAUAUCAUUAGCAUCCACGUUGAUUUCCAUGGGUGGAGCUUGCGAAUUCAUCAUUUUGACGAAUAAUUGGAUGGGUUCAGCUCCACCGAACGGCCAGGCCAUCGACUCUGGAUGAGAGGUCUUCUGACUUCUAUGUCUUGUUUCACUUGAGGAAUUGGCGACAGGGUUUAGUGUUAGGUAGCAUUUGAGGGAUAAAUCGAGAAGCAAGCAGCCUCCAGCCGAGACGUAAGUGUUGCAGAGCUCAAACGCAAUGGAGGGAAACAAAAUGAAAAUUAAUUUUGAAUAAUAGAACAAAUUACAAUGUUUGGUCAAUACCUGCUGGCUGCCAACUACUUAAAGAAAAGAGAAAAAAAAAAAAAAAAAGCUGUUCCCUGAAAAAGUUACUGGGCGUUCCAUUGCCAAUUAAAGCAAGAACCCGAAAAUUAGGAAAGAAAUGGUCGGCAAGUUCACAAGUAAAAUAUACAUUUUAUUUUAAAAAGAUAUAUAACUCAUGCCUCGCCUGUUCAAUGGACUUCUUUUGACCAAGUUUGAUUAGCACUCUUUAAUUAUAUGGCUAUAACUCGGUCCUUGGUUGAUGAUUGAAUCAAUUGGGUGACUCUCACCUAAUGAGUGAAUCGUUCAAAGCCCAAAACAGCCACAACCCUCUUGAAUUUAAUGUGCAAAAAGCAAUUAACCUUUGCUACAAUAUGAAAACAAUCAAAAACUAAAAAUUAAUAUUUAAAAUAUAUAAUUUUUAACACUUAAAAUAUUAUAUUACACCAUAAACUCAUUUAAUUAUAUAAAUUAUUAAUAUCUAAAAUUAACGAAAAACUGAUUAAAAUUAAAAAAUAAACUACUCUUUCUUUUUCAAUUAAAUGGACAAAAUUAUUAUAAUUUUAAAAUUCAUUUACUCUUUAAUUUUUAUUACAAAAAUUUUCUUUUUUUUUUCUUUUAAUUUUUAAUAAUUAAAUUAUUAAAUCGAAAGAGAAUUAAAAAAAGGGAAAUCGAAAAGGAAAAUGGCGCUAAUAAAAUGACGACGAAGUAAACGGGGAGGUCUUCAUUAUUAUAUAAUUUCUUACAUCUCGACUGGUUCAGCCAUGGUGGCUGCUCUUUUCUUCAAGCCCUUAAGGAUAGUAAAGUUGCUGAUUUCAUCUUCUGGCUACACCAAUUACAAUGAAAACUGAGGGAAAGGACUCUAAAUCCUCCUCCUCAUGGAGUUUCCUUCGCUGAGUUCCUGUAAAAAAGCACUGAUGCAUGAAAUGUGUAAUUGAGGACAGUUCCAUAUUUGUAAAUCUGUAAGAUGAGAAAGCCCAUAAUAUAGCGAGUUCAAUAAUUGUGUCGUCCAGCAGUUGUGAAUGUUAAGAGUCUUAAGGGAAUCAGGAAACUUUCCAUUUGAAGAAGAAUCGAGGGAUCCACAUCCAAAGAUACAUAAUUCCUCGAGGAAUCAGGAAACUUCUUCUCAUUCUCCUCUUUCAAGACCUAACAAUCCUUGUUCAAAGAAAAACCCAGUAUAUAGUAGUGAAAGAUCUCACAUGUCUCUCAUUUACUUCUUUCAAUAAACAGAAGCAAGAUGUUGUGAGGGAAAAAAAAAAGGGAAAAACAGAAGCAAGAUGUUGAAUUCUGCUCCUUAUCUAUCAGGAGUUCAAUAAACAACACAAGGAUUAUUGUGCCGCCACUUAUCAUACCGUGCCUCACCUUCAGCAUUUAUUCUAUCAAUUGCACACAUAUCCUCCACAUUUUUUAUUUUUGAAAGCAAAAUUUGAUUUCAUUAAGCAACACACUAACACAAUUUCAGGAGGUGACAAAAACCAAAUGCAUGGAACAUGAGAGAAAAAAAUAAAAAAAUAAAAAAGAAGAUAAAACAACAGAACAUGUGUCAUUCAUCCAUCUCAAAGCAAUAGCUCUUAGCUUUUAGAGCAGAAAACCCAAUCUGUUUCCUUCAAUAAAGCCUUAUGUCUCUGCUACAUCUCCAUCAAAUAUCUCUUUGCCAAUUGUAUUUGCUUGCCCAAUUCAUCCAUCUCUAACUGAAUGGAAGGAAAUUCACAACGUUUGUGAUGGGCCUGUGAAGAGAAGUCAAAACAAUGAGUCUUGAGCCACAUAUACAAAGCAACUAAAACUUCCUUGUAGUGUUCUGAAUUAUCAUCUUCUAAUUUCAUUGUAGUUUUCAAUAAUUAGUUUCGACAUGCUACUCAAUUCAUUCAGAAUGUACAGCGUCAUUGAAAUAGUUCUUACAAGAAAUACAGAAGCACAUCUUAUUGAGAUGCGAACAAACUAAGGGCAGCGCCCUUUUACAAAUGGAUGCUCUAAAAGCUCAGCAGCAGUCGGACGAUCAUUUGGAUUAACUUGCAAGCAUUGCAGGAUGAAAUCUCGUGAAUGCUCUGUCAGAGAAUCAGGAAGAGGAGGUAGCUUACCCUCUCCAAUGCUGUAAUCUACAGCUCCAGGUUCCAAAUGAGAAUAAGGAAUUUUGCGGGUGGACAUUUCCAACACUGUGCAACCAACGCUCCAUAUAUCAAUUUUAAAUCCAUACCCUCCUCCCUUUCCAUUAACAACCUCAGGAGGCAUCCAACGAGGAUUCCACCAGCAAAACUUGAAGAGAGUUUUUAAGUUGGUCACCCUUGACAAUCCAAAAUCUGCAAUUUUCACGCAUUUUUUCACAUCAACUAAAAUGUUUGCACAUUUAAUGUCUCCAUGGACUACAUUUCGAUCAUGAAGGUACUUUAAACCUUUCAGUAUUUGCUUGGUGUACAAAGACACUUCAGAAUCUUGAAGUUGAAACUUCUGAUAAUGUUUUUCAAGGGAACCUGCUCCUACAAGCUCAAGAAAAAUAUAGAGAUUCAUUUCAUCCUUAUCUGUGCCAAAAUAUUUCACUAUAUUUGGAUGACUGAACUGACGUAGUAAAGCAAUCUCUUGCUCAAUUUGGUCAACUUUUUUUCUUUCUAACAAUGGAGCUACCUUUACUGCCAAAAGGGGACAAUCAGCAACAUAACCUUCAUACACUUUUCCAAAUGACCCACUGCCUAGGAAGUCACCCAAUUGACAAUCCUUCAUAUUAAUUCUUGGUCUUCUAAUCUGCAAAGUAUUCAACAUAGUUUAUGUAUUAUACUUUAAAAGGAAGUAAUUGAGAAUUAAGCACGGUAUAUUAAUGAAUAGUUCCCAAAACUAAGAAUAUUUCAUCUAACACAUUGGCUGAACUUGCUCCAGUAUUAUACAAUUGUUGGAAGUUCUUGAAUAGAAGUUCAAAAGUUUAGAAGGAACCCUUUUAUUUCAAAAAGAAUUCCAGUAAGGAAGCAGCUCAUGCAAUGAUAUUUCCAAAGCAAGAUUCAGAGCUGUGAUAUGCAUGAGAAAGUAAAGGAAAAAAAUAGUUUUAAAUGCUCGAGUAACACUAAACUCUACAAGCACAUACCUUUUGCAGUUGGGACAUCAGAGGAUCACUUUCAUUGCAUUCAUGAUUAAGAGAUUUUCCCUUCUUACCAAAAUUAGAUCCAGCAUUUACAUUUCCUUUUAGCACCCAGUUAAGAUCUUUAAGCUCUAGUCCUUUAAAAUCUUCAAGUAGCUGGCUUAUUGAUGUUCCAAAAAUCAUUUGAAAGCCUUCACUGAAUAUGGACACCUGUUUUGAGAUUGAGCGGACAAAGCAAUGCCGAACUAGAGAUUCAAAAUAACCCUUGCUUGGGUAAAGUUUCAUGGUCUUGCCAGUCUUGAAUCCAAACUUCACUUUAGGAGAUUCCAAAGUUGACAAGUCAUCCUUAUUUAUGAACUCCUUGCACCUAUUGUAGAAGCAUGGAUCUGCAUUCUUUACAUCUUCUAACGAAAUAUUCUUUCCAGCCAAUUGCAUAAGAAACACACGAUCUAAGGCAACACCUACUUGUAUUUCAUGCUUCAAUGCUAGUGCAAUCACUUUACCAGCAAAGUUGAAACAGUCAAGAUGAAAGGGUUCUGGCUGCAAUUCUGCAUAUACAAUCAUGAACUUAUGAUUUGAGCAAAUGACCAUGAUAAAAUGUAAUCCAAAUCCAAGGGUGAUGUUGAAUUAUACCCAAAGCAAACUCGAAAAUGAAAUGUUUAUUACUUGUGCAAAACUUUUGGAGAACCUGGUGGUCUAACUCAACCCAUAGAACUAAACAAAUGCAUAUCAUGUUCUUUCAUUGAAUUACCAUAGUGUUGUGUUAUCUUCAUUUGCUGUUUGGUGGCAUCUUCCGAUAUUCUUAAUCGCUUCUCUUUCCUUUGCCUAAAUUUCCUAUCAGUGCCCUAAUGUCUCAACUAGUACUACUUUUGUUGAAUUACUAUUUUUACAACUCUCUGACCUUAUCAUUGUUUUAUCAAGUGAUGGAAAAUAAUGAUGAACUCGAAGAUUUGGAAAAAACAAAAAAAAGAGCACAUGAUAAAGUUUAAUUGCAAUCCAACAGUAACCGUAGUACAUAUAUGCUAUCAAUGUUUAGAUAACAAUGUUAAUAAUAUGAAAUAUCUUCUGCCAGUUCAAUAUUGUAUGCCCAGAUGACAUCUCAAAAAGUAAGUAUAUGAUAAAGUUGCAGCAAAAAGAUAUGGAUCAAUCAAUUCUUAAGGAAAAAAAAGCAUGCUAAUUCAUAGAAAGGCUCACUAAACAGGCCAAAAAAAGCAUCAGAAGGUGUGUUGAAGCAAGUGAUACUUUCGCUUCAAACUCCAAAAUUUUACAAGUUCCAAUAAUUCUAGUUUAUGUAUUUUGUUUGUUUUAUGUCCUGAACUCCAGCUGCAAAAGAGAUGUGAUAGAUUAACUUGUAAGAGUAGUUCUUAAAGUAAGGUGUUUUGAUGGUUAGGUAGAAAAUAUUUGACUUUUUGCUCUAUAUAUUUAGCUAUUUUGCUGCAAGCAAGUAUGAAAACAAAAGAAGUAUCUCUUUCUUAGUUUUCUUUUCUCCCUCCAAAUCCAACGAAUGGUAUCAGAGCUUCUAGAUCUUAAGGAACCUGUUUAGAGCAUGUUAUUAUUGUUAAAGCAUGCAUAGCUACACAACUAAGGAAGUUAUGAUAGCCCACAAGAGGAGGAUCACUCCAAGAAGAAAAUUGCAGUCAAGAACGGUUGGAGACAUGGCUGCUCCUCAACCAGAAUGUUUGGAGACAAAGUUGCUCCAAGAAGAUGAAUUUUCAAAAAGGAACUUUUUUGCUAAAGAUGAAGUGCGCCAAAAAAAGAAGAAAACAAGGUAAGCAAGUGCACCAAAAGGAAAACAAUGGUGAGCAAGUGCACCAGAAAAAGAAGAAGAGCAAUGGUGAGAAGUGCACCAGAAAAAGCAAACAAAAGGUGAGAAGUGCACCUAAAGUCAAUGAAGAUUAUUGGAGAGAAGUGUUCCAUGAAAGAGUCGGAGAGAAGUGCUCCACCAACAACAAAUCAAAACAGAAAAUUGGUGGGAUGUGCUCCAAUAUAAUUUAAUUUGGAGUUUUCACCAAAAGCAUCAAAGGAGGAGUGUUGAAGCAAGUGAUACUUUAACUUCAAACUCCAAAAUUUCUACAAGUUUCAAGAAUUCUAAUUUGUGUAUUUUGUUUGUUUUACGUCCUGAACUCCAGCUGCAAAAUAGAUGUGAUAGAUUAACUUGUAAGAGUAGUUCACAAAGUAAGGUGUUUAGAUGGUUAGGUAGAAAAUAUUUGACUUCUUGCUCUGUAUAUUUAGCUAUUCUGCUGCAAGCAUGUAUGAAAACAAAAGAAGUAAAAAAUCAGAUCUUGUUCCCGCAACUCUUUAUCUCUUUCUUAGUUUUCUCUUCUCCCUCCAAAUCCAACAGAAUUACAAUAGUGCAUGUUGUGUUCUCUUCAUUUGCUGUUUGGUGGCAUCUUUUGAUAUUCUUAAUCGCUUCGCUUUCCUUCGCCUAAAUUUCCUACCAGUGCCCUAAUGUCUCAACUAGUACUACUUUUGUUGAAUUACUAAUUUUCCAACUCUCUGACCCUUAUCAUUGUUUUAUCAGGUGAUGGAAAAUAAUGAUGAACUCGAAGAUUUGGAAAAAAAAGAGAGCACAUGAUAAAGUUUAAUUGCAAUCCAACAGUAAUCUAGUACAUAUUUGCUAUCAAUGUUUAGAUAACAAUGUUUAAUAAUAUGAAAUAUCUUCUGCCAGUUCAAUAUUCUAUGCCCAAAUGACAUCUCAGAAAGUAAGUAUAUGAUAAAGUUGCAGCAAAAAGAUAUGGAUCAAUCAAUUCUUAAGGAAAAAAAAGCAUGCUAAUUCAUAGAAAGGCUCACUAAACAAGAAAAAAAAAGCAUCAGGUGUGUGAUCUUACCAGGAUUAGGAUAGAACUCUGUAGGAUAAUCUGGGCAUACUCGGAAAAGGAGAUUUUUUGGUUCGAAUAAAACUUGGCAUACCUUGCAUAACCAAUGAUGCAGCACUUUAGGAUCUGUAAGAUCCUUGCCUUUGAAUGCAUUGAACAGCUUUUUGUCCACCUUUUCAGACCAGCAAAAGAGAGUGUUGAGGAGCCCUGCAUUGUGUAACUUUUUCUCAGGGAACAUCUUCAUCAUUAUUAAAUGCAUCCUGGAUUCAGAAUCAAGCACAUCAAUGUGCUCAAGGAGCCAAUCAUAAUCAUCACUCCGCAUAAUGUUUUUAAUCAUUAUUUGUAGUGAAUUCUUCUGGCCUUCUAAUACACGCUUGAAUUCAUCCGCAGCACUCUCCACAAGUUGAGGCAUGCUAUUCAAUUCAUUCAGAAUGGCCAAAUACAGAAGUGAAACAGGACGCGCCGUAUCAAGUUUUUCAAAUAUUUGUUUCAUAUCCGCAAGGCGAGUAAGAUUCUGCUCCAUAUCUUUCAAGUGAAGAUGAAAAAGAACUUUAAUCACAUCAACUAUAAAUUUGACCAUCCUAUUCUGCUCAUCAUCCUCAUCCUCAUUUAUCAGAACAUUGAUUGCUUUACGCAAUACGCAUAAAAAUUUCCCCAAAUCACGAACUUGAAUUCUCAGUGGCUCAAUGUGUUCGCUUCGAUAGAAGAGAUUAGCCAAUCCAUUGGACAAGUCUUGUGAUAACUUGACAGCAAAGAGUAGAAUUUGGAUCACUGUCCUUAGAUAACAACCGUAAUAGAUCUCAUAUUUAUCUUCUAAAUACUCCGCUAGCAUAGUCCGGCAUGAAUUAUACAGAGGAUCUUCAGAAGAUACUUCCCUGAGCAAAUUACAAAAUUCUAAUCCUAAAGAAGCUAUUUCAUCAUGAGAAAGCUGAUUCUCGGUCAUCAAUAUGAGAUCCAUGGAAAGCCUUAUCAAAUUAUUACCAUCGAAUUUGUUACCUUCAAUUGGUGAGCUAUAAAGCAUAACCAAAGUCGCAGGGACAGAACACAAAGAGAGAAUCUCCGAAUUCUCUUCAGUCAUGCAAUCCAACGCUUGGCUAAUGAUACUACAGCAGUCUUCGUAUUUGGAAUCAGAUUCACCUUGGCACAUGCGACAAAUGCUUGAACUCAUUUGGUGAACCAUAUGGAGAAGUGCCGACGUGCCGUCCAUGUCAUCCCAUCGAACCGUCAACUCAAGGCAGGCUUUGUUUUGAAUUGAGCACUGUUUAAGCGUGUCCCAGUAUUGUAGCUGCUUUGUCCCAUAAAAUAACUUCUGUUCAGUAACUGGAAUUUUCCAGGUCACUAGAAUUUUCUCGUGGAUAAUCUUUAUAAUAUCAUUAGCAUCCACGUUGAUUUCCAUGGGUGGAGCUUGCGAAUUCAUCAUUUUGACGAAUAAUUGGAUGGGUUCAGCUCCACCGAACGGCCACGCCAUCGACUCUGGAUG
rnacentral:lncRNA from 1 species